AUUGAACGCUGGCGGCAUGCCUUACACAUGCAAGUCGAACGGUAACAGGUCUUCGGAUGCUGACGAGUGGCGAACGGGUGAGUAACACGUGGGAACGUGCCUUUAGGUUCGGAAUAACUCAGGGAAACUUGUGCUAAUACCGAAUGUGCCCUUCGGGGGAAAGAUUUAUCGCCUUUAGAGCGGCCCGCGUCUGAUUAGCUAGUUGGUGAGGUAACAGCUCACCAAGGCGACGAUCAGUAGCUGGUCUGAGAGGAUGGCCAGCCACACUGGGACUGAGACACGGCCCAGACUCCUACGGGAGGCAGCAGUGGGGAAUCUUGCGCAAUGGGCGAAAGCUUGACGCAGCCAUGCCGCGUGAAUGAUGAAGGUCUUAGGAUUGUAAAAUUCUUUCACCGGGGACGAUAAUGACGGUACCCGGAGAAGAAGCCCCGGCUAACUUCGUGCCAGCCGCCGCCGUAA
rnacentral:rRNA from 1 species